GGCGAACGCUGGCGGCGUGCUUAACACAUGCAAGUCGAGCGGUAAGGCCCCUUCGGGGGUACACGAGCGGCGAACGGGUGAGUAACACGUGAGCAACCUACCCUCAACUUCGGGAUAAGCCUCGGAAACGGGGUCUAAUACCGGGAUAUCACUUUCCACCUCAUGGUGGGGGGUUGAAAGUUCUGGCGGGUUGGGGAUGGGCUCGCGGCCUAUCAGCUUGUUGGUGGGGUAAUGGCCUACCAAGGCGUCGACGGGUAGCCGGCCUGAGAGGGCGACCGGCCACACUGGGACUGAGACACGGCCCAGACUCCUACGGGAGGCAGCAGGUGGGGAAUAUUGCGCAAUGGACGAAAGUCUGACGCAGCAACGCCGCGUGAGGGAUGACGGCCU
rnacentral:rRNA from 1 species